rnacentral:rRNA from 1 species
UACGGAGGAUGCGAGCGUUAUCCGGAUUUAUUGGGUUUAAAGGGUGCGUAGGCGGACUGUCAAGUCAGCGGUAAAAUUGAGAGGCUCAACCUCUUCCCGCCGUUGAAACUGGUGGUCUUGAGUGGAUGAGAAGUACGCGGAAUGCGUGGUGUAGCGGUGAAAUGCGUAGAUAUCACGCAGAACUCCGAUUGCGAAGGCAGCGUACCGGCAUCCAACUGACGCUGAGGCACGAAAGCGUGGGGAUCAAACAGG